CUACGUGCCAGCAGCCGCGGUAAUACGUAGGUCCCGAGCGUUGUCCGGAUUUAUUGGGCGUAAAGCGAGCGCAGGCGGUUAGAUAAGUCUGAAGUUAAAGGCUGUGGCUUAACCAUAGUACGCUUUGGAAACUGUUUAACUUGAGUGCAAGAGGGGAGAGUGGAAUUCCAUGUGUAGCGGUGAAAUGCGUAGAUAUAUGGAGGAACACCGGUGGCGAAAGCGGCUCUCUGGCUUGUAACUGACGCUGAGGCUCGAAAGCGUGGGGAGCAAACAGGAUUAGAUACCCUGGUAGUCCACGCCGUAAACGAUGAGUGCUAGGUGUUAGACCCUUUCCGGGGUUUAGUGCCGUAGCUGACGCAUUAAGCACUCCGCCUGGGGAGUACGGUCGCAAGAUUAAAACUCAAAGGAAUAGACGGGGACCCGCACAAGCGGUGGAGCAUGUGGUUUAAUUCGAAGAUACGCGAAGAACCUUACCCGGACUUGAUAUC
rnacentral:rRNA from 1 species